CAGUCGCCGCGGUAAUACGGAGGGUGCAAGCGUUAAUCGGAAUUACUGGGCGUAAAGCGUGCGUAGGCGGUUCGUUAAGUCUGUUGUGAAAGCCCCGGGCUCAACCUGGGAAUGGCAAUGGAUACUGGCGAGCUAGAGUGUGUUAGAGGAUGGUGGAAUUCCCGGUGUAGCGGUGAAAUGCGUAGAGAUCGGGAGGAACAUCAGUGGCGAAGGCGGCCAUCUGGGACAACACUGACGCUGAGGCACGAAAGCGUGGGGAGCAAACAGGAUUAGAUACCCCAGUAGUCCCUGUCUCUUAUAC
rnacentral:rRNA from 1 species